ensembl:rRNA 5S_rRNA 5S ribosomal RNA
ACCUACAGCCCUACCACCCUGAUCCCUGAAGCUAAGCAAGGCUGAGCUUGUCCAGUACCUGGAAGGGAGACUGCCUAGGAACACUGGGGGCUGUGGGCU